rnacentral:siRNA from 1 species
UAAAACGACUCUCGGCAACGGA